CCAGCCAGAGACCAGACGGAGUCCAGACCCAACUUUUACUGUUUGCUGGCUGAAUCCAACCGCUGCUUCUCAAUACACCGUUCGGCCUGACUUGUCUUCACCCCGGCUGGCUGUUUAGUUCAGAAGCUGAUCAGUUUUGUCCCGAAAAUAAGAACGAACGAAAGAAAGAAAGCCGUUGUUUCUUCCUAUGCGUCCCAGCCUACCCGGUGCGUCCAACGCGCACAGUAAGGAGAUCAGCGAAGCAAUUUGAGUGACUGACUGCAUGGAUCGGACUUAACAUGAAGAGCCUCAAAGCCAAGUUUAGGAAGACUGAUGCCAACGAGUGGAACAAAAACGACGAGCGCCUCCUUGCUGCUGUGGAACAUGGCGAGGUGGACAAACUGGUGUCCCUUCUUACUAAAAAAGGUGCCAAUGCUGCUAAGCUGGACGGUGAAGGGAAAUCAGCG